rnacentral:rRNA from 1 species
AUGCAAGCGCUGGGGCAGCAUCCUCUCCGACCCCCAGUUCCUCAAACGCUUCCGCGAGCACCACAGGAAACCUCCUCUGCUCGGCUUCUUCCUGCUAAAAACUUCAUUCCUGCCAUGGACUCACCUGACCGCAUCCCUGCUGCCCGCUUCUCCCUGCCCAAGAGCAGCAUACCCUACCACACCGAUGAAGCAUACAUGGGCUGCCGCCAUGGCCUCUCUCUCUUAAUCAACAUGCAUAAGCGCGAGACCGUCGUGUGGGAUCCCCUCACCGGUGAAGAGCGCAUCGUGGCUUUUCCACCAGGGUUCAACAGUACCUUAAUGUGGAGUUACAGUGGCUGGCAUGGCACUGUAUUGUGCGUCAAUGCUGAAGAUGGGCAUGUCCACGGAGAUUGCUUCUCGAGCCCGUUUAAAUUGGUUUUGGUCUGCGCUGAGUACAAUACACCGGCAGUUUGUUCUGUCUACGACUCGGCGUCUGAUGUUUGGGGAGAUAUUUUCUCAACGAUGACGAUAACAGCUGGAAUGUCUAGGUUAAGAAGGCCCAGCACCCUUGUCGGGAAUGCACUUUGCUUGUUGAUUUCUGGAGGUGAUGUCCUUGUGUUUGAUUUCGAAAUGCAAAGUCUUAGUCUGAUCGAAAAGCCGGUAGAAAACCAUGGUACCGACGACUGGUAUUUUCAGCUCUUACGGAUGGAGAAUGAUGGACUAGGUCUUGCUAUUUUGUUGGACCUGACUAUCAAAUUAUGGGAGAGGAAAUCUAACUGCGAUGGUGUUUUCGAAUGGGUGCUGCUGCAGAAAACCAUUCCACUCGAGGGUAUGGUUCCAAGGAGAAUGGAUUCUGCACUUUUCGUCGGGUAUGAUGAGGAUGCAAAUGUGAUUGUUCUCACUACUAUAACCGGCAACUUCACACUCCAAGUUGACUCGAUGCAGAUCAAACAUAUUGUUAAAAGAAACAACAUAUGUCUUGACACCUUUUAUCCCUACAGGAAUUUCUAUACUGCAGGCAGGAGAGCUGAGACGCAGCCAUGA